ensembl:lncRNA
UGACGAAAGCAGCUAGCCAGAGGGGAGCAUGGAGGAAGCGUGAGGUGGGGACAGUUUGAUGGAUGAAAAUGGCCACUCUCUCCCCCCUCUCCCCCCUCCUUCAAUGGCUGGAGAUAAGGGCAGGCCUGCAUUAUUGAAAUCCCACGUCUGUAAACCCAUCAAUAGCGGGUGACUGUGUGUGUGUAUGUGUGUGGCAUGCGUCUGGUGUGUGUUUGUGUAUGUCAUCUCCUGCCCAAGGCCCCCUCUCCUUUUUAUGUCGCAGCCAAGCUGUGUGGCUGGAAAGCCCAGGUGAGGCAGCAAGCUGUGUGGCUGGAAAGCCCAGGUGAGGCAGCAAGCUGUGUGGCUGGAAAGCCCAGGUGAGGCAGCAAGCUGUGUGGCUGGAAAGCCCAGGUGAGGCAGCAAGCUGUGUGGCUGGAAAGCCCAGGUGAGGCAGCAAGCUGUGUGGCUGGAAAGCCCAGGUGAGGCAGCAAGCUGUGUGGCUGGAAAGCCCAGGUGAGGCAGCAAGGUGAUUGCAUCUUUGUCAGAGCGCAGCGAGCAUUUCCCUGUGACAGAUGAAAGCCACUGGGGCCGUUGGAUUAUGAGUUAUGUUCUGCCUAGGAGACGAGCUGAGAGGAGGCAUUUGUUAUCAUUGC